GGCGCGGACUCUCAUAGAUACGGGCGAGUGAAGCGGCAUAGCUCAAAUUUGAAAUCUGGCGCCUUCGGCGUCCGAGUUGUAAUUUGGAGAGGAUGCUUCUGAGUGGGCACCGACCUAAGUUUCUUGGAACAGGACGUCAUAUAAGGGUGAGAAUCCCGUAUGUGGGUCGGAAAGGCGCUCUAUUGGUAGCUCCUUCGACGAGUCGAGUUGUUUGGGAAUGCAGCUCUAAAUGGGAGGUAAAUUCCUUCUAAAGCUAAAUAUUGGCCAGAGACCGAUAGCGCACAAGUACAGUGAUCGAAAGAUGAAAAGCACUUUGAAAAGAGAGUUAAAAAGCACGUGAAAUUGUUGAAAGGGAAGGGAUUGUGACCAGACUUGGUCGCUGGGGUCCGCCGGUCUUCUGACGGGGCUACUCGCCGCGUUGCACGGCACCAUCAUCUGUUGCCGCUGGAUAAGACUUGAGGAAUGUGCUCCCUGGCGAGUGUUAUAUUCUCUUGUGAUGCAUUGUGCGCCGGUGCGACUCCGCGCUUCGGCUACGAUGCUG
rnacentral:rRNA from 1 species